rnacentral:rRNA from 1 species
UAAGGAAUAUUGGUCAAUGGAGGCAACUCUGAACCAGCCAUGCCGCGUGCAGGAUGAAGGCCCUAUGGGUCGUAAACUGCUUUUAUACCAGAGAAAACCCUUCCACGUGUGGAAGGUUGAUAGUAUGGUAAGAAUAAGCAUCGGCUAACUUCGUGCCAGCAGCCGCGGUAAGACGAAGGAUGCAAGCGUUAUCCGGAUUCAUUGGGUUUAAAGGGUGCGUAGGCGGACUUGUAAGUCAGUGGUGAAAUCUCUCAGCUUAACUGAGAAACUGCCAUUGAUACUGCAGGUCUAGAGUAUAGAUGACGUUGGCGGAAUAUGACAUGUAGUGGUGAAAUACUUAGAUAUGUCAUAGAACACCGAUUGCGAAGGCAGCUAACGAAACUAUAACUGACGCUGAGGCACGAAAGUGCGGGGAUCAAACAGG